GGACAUCUCCCAAAGACCUAAAGCAGCCCUUACGAGGCUGAGGUCGCCGGUUCAAGUCCGGCCCGGCCCACCA
rnacentral:tRNA from 1 species